GCGGAAGUAGCUCAGCUGGUAGAGCAUCUCGUUGCCAACGAGAAGGCCGCGGGUUCGAAUCCCGUUUUCCGCUCCA
rnacentral:tRNA from 1 species